rnacentral:ncRNA from 1 species
GUAAAAAAUUUAUAAGAAUAUGAUGUUGGUUCAGAUUAAGCGCUAAAUAAGGACAUGACACAUGCGAAUCAUACGUUUAUUAUUGAUAAGAUAAUAAAUAUGUGGUGUAAACGUGAGUAAUUUUAUUAGGGAAUUAAUGAACUAUAGAAUAAGCUAAAUACUUAAUAUAUUAUUAUAUAAAAAUAAUUUAUAUAAUAAAAAGGAUAUAUAUAUAAUAUAUAUUUAUCUAUAGUCAAGCCAAUAAUGGUUUAGGUAGUAGGUUUAUUAAGAGUUAAACCUAGCCAACGAUCCAUAAUCGAUAAUGAAAGUUAGAACGAUCACGUUGACUCUGAAAUAUAGUCAAUAUCUAUAAGAUACAGCAGUGAGGAAUAUUGGACAAUGAUCGAAAGAUUGAUCCAGUUACUUAUUAGGAUGAUAUAUAAAAAUAUUUUUAUUUUAUUUAUAAAUAUUAAAUAUUUAUAAUAAUAAUAAUAAUAUAUAUAUAUAAAUUGAUUAAAAAUAAAAUCCAUAAAUAAUUAAAAUAAUGAUAUUAAUUACCAUAUAUAUUUUUAUAUGGAUAUAUAUAUUAAUAAUAAUAUUAAUUUAUUAUUAUUAAUAAUAUAUUUUAAUAGUCCUGACUAAUAUUUGUGCCAGCAGUCGCGGUAACACAAAGAGGGCGAGCGUUAAUCAUAAUGGUUUAAAGGAUCCGUAGAAUGAAUUAUAUAUUAUAAUUUAGAGUUAAUAAAAUUAAUUAAAGAAUUAUAAUAGUAAAGAUGAAAUAAUAAUAAUAAUUAUAAGACUAAUAUAUGUGAAAAUAUUAAUUAAAUAUUAACUGACAUUGAGGGAUUAAAACUAGAGUAGCGAAACGGAUUCGAUACCCGUGUAGUUCUAGUAGUAAACUAUGAAUACAAUUAUUUAUAAUAUAUAUUAUAUAUAAAUAAUAAAUGAAAAUGAAAGUAUUCCACCUGAAGAGUACGUUAGCAAUAAUGAAACUCAAAACAAUAGACGGUUACAGACUUAAGCAGUGGAGCAUGUUAUUUAAUUCGAUAAUCCACGACUAACCUUACCAUAUUUUGAAUAUUAUAAUAAUUAUUAUAAUUAUUAUAUUACAGGCGUUACAUUGUUGUCUUUAGUUCGUGCUGCAAAGUUUUAGAUUAAGUUCAUAAACGAACAAAACUCCAUAUAUAUAAUUUUAAUUAUAUAUAAUUUUAUAUUAUUUAUUAAUAUAAAGAAAGGAAUUAAGACAAAUCAUAAUGAUCCUUAUAAUAUGGGUAAUAGACGUGCUAUAAUAAAAUGAUAAUAAAAUUAUAUAAAAUAUAUUUAAUUAUAUUUAAUUAAUAAUAUAAAACAUUUUAAUUUUUAAUAUAUUUUUUUAUUAUAUAUUAAUAUGAAUUAUAAUCUGAAAUUCGAUUAUAUGAAAAAAGAAUUGCUAGUAAUACGUAAAUUAGUAUGUUACGGUGAAUAUUCUAACUGUUUCGCACUAAUCACUCAUCACGCGUUGAAACAUAUUAUUAUCUUAUUAUUUAUAUAAUAUUUUUUAAUAAAUAUUAAUAAUUAUUAAUUUAUAUUUAUUUAUAUCAGAAAUAAUAUGAAUUAAUGCGAAGUUGAAAUACAGUUACCGUAGGGGAACCUGCGGUGGGCUUAUAAAUAUCUUAAAUAUUCUUACA